rnacentral:rRNA from 1 species
UGGGGAAUAUUGGGCAAUGGGCGCAAGCCUGACCCAGCUAUGCCGCGUGAGUGAUGAAGGCCUUAGGGUUGUAAAGCUCUUUCACCCAUGAAGAUAAUGACUGUAGUGGGAGAAGAAGCCCCGGCUAACUUCGUGCCAGCAGCCGCGGUAAUACGAAGGGGGCUAGCGUUGUUCGGAAUUACUGGGCGUAAAGCGCAUGUAGGCGGAAUAUUAAGUCCGAGGUUAAAUCCUACAGCUUAACUGUAGAAUUGCCUCGGAUACUGACUUUCUAGAGUACGGAAGGGGCGAGUGGAAUUGCUAGUGUAGAGGUGAAAUUCGUAGAUAUUAGCAAGAACACCAGUGGCGAAGGCGGCUCGCUGGUCCGUUACUGACGCUGAGGUGCGAAAGCGUGGGGAGCAAA